rnacentral:rRNA from 1 species
UACGUAGGGGGCAAGCGUUGUCCGGAUUUAUUGGGCGUAAAGAGCGUGUAGGCGGCCAGGUAGGUCUGCUGUGAAAACUCGAGGCUUAACCUCGAGCUGUCGGCGGAAACCAUCUGGCUAGAGUCCGGAAGAGGAGAAUGGAAUUCCCGGUGUAGCGGUGAAAUGCGCAGAUAUCGGGAAGAACACCAGUGGCGAAGGCGGCUCACUGGCCCGGUAUUGACGCUGAGGCGCGAAAGCUAGGGGAGCAAACGGG